UACAGAGGUCCCAAGCGUUGUUCGGAUUCACUGGGCGUAAAGGGUGCGUAGGCGGUCGGGUAAGUCUGUCGUGAAAUCUCCGAGCCCAACUCGGAAACUGCGUCGGAUACUAUUCGGCUAGAGGAAUGGAGGGGAGACUGGAAUUCUCGGUGUAGCAGUGAAAUGCGUAGAUAUCGAGAGGAACACCAGUGGCGAAGGCGAGUCCCUGGACAACUACUGACACUGAGGCACGAAAGCUAGGGGAGCAAACAGG
rnacentral:rRNA from 1 species